GGGUGUGUAGCUCAGUGGUAGAGCGUUCGCUUCGCAUGCGAAAGGCCCCGGGUUCAAAUCCCGGCACCUCCA
rnacentral:tRNA from 1 species